GAUGAAGAACGUAGCGAAAUGCGAUACGUAAUGUGAAUUGCAGAAUUCAGUGAAUCAUCGAGUCUUUGAACGCACAUUGCGCCCCCUGGUAUUCCGGGGGGCAUGCCUGUCCGAGCGUCAUUAGUCCAAUCUCAAGCCCGGCUUGUCGUUGGGUCGCACCGCCCGGGGCGGUGGACCCGAAAUAUAAUGACGGGGUCUAGCGGACCGUGGGCGCAGCGAGCUUUUACAGCACGCGUCCCGGCGUCAUCUAGACGCGUCUCCAACCAUACUCUCUGUAGGUUGACCUCGGAUCAGACAGGAUUACCCGCUGAACUUAAGCAUAUCAAUAAGCGGAGGA
rnacentral:misc_RNA from 1 species